rnacentral:rRNA from 1 species
UACGAAGGGGGCUAGCGUUGCUCGGAAUCACUGGGCGUAAAGCGCACGUAGGCGGAUCUUUAAGUCAGGGGUGAAAUCCUGGAGCUCAACUCCAGAACUGCCUUUGAUACUGAGGAUCUUGAGUCCGGGAGAGGUGAGUGGAAUUCCGAGUGUAGAGGUGAAAUUCGUAGAUAUUCGGAAGAACACCAGUGGCGAAGGCGGCUCACUGGACCGGUAUUGACGCUGAGGUGCGAAAGCGUGGGGAGCAAACAGG